AGUACCUUGAGCCUCAGAGAAGACUUUGCAUUAGAACUUUGAGCAAAUUCAGAACUGUUGAGACUAUGGGGACACUUGGAAAUGGGCUAAAUGUAUUUUUUAUUAUAAGAUAAGCUUGAGGGGGGGACAUGGGUGAAAUGUUAUGGUUUAGAUAUGGUGUCCCCCCAAGUUUCAUGAGAGAUAGUGCAAAAGAGGUUUGGAGGAGAAAUGAUUGGGUUAUAGCCUUAACCUAAACCCUGAUGGGAUUAACCAAGUGGUAACUGGGUCAGGUGGGGUGUGGCUGGAGGAAGUUGUUCAUUAAGGGUGUGGCUAUGGUGUAUACAUUUUGUAUUGGAAUAGUGUAUUCUCUCUCUCUCUCUCUCUCUCUCUCUCUCUCUCUCCUCCCUGAUCACCAUGUGAGCUGCUUUCCUGUGCCAAAAUCUUCUGCCAUGAUGUCCUGCCUCACCUUAAGCCCUAAGGAAUGGAUUAGCCUUCUAUGGACAAAGACCUCUGAAACCAAAGGGAAUAAGAAAAUGAUGAUGAAGAAGAAGGAGGAGGAGGAGAAGGUGGAAGAUGAGGAGGAAGAGGAGAAAGAAGGAGGAAGAAGAGAAAGAGGAGGAGAAAGAAGAGAAAGAGAUAAUCAAAUUCCACAAUACCCUUUGAUGGCAUGCUCCAGUGAGAUAAGUAACCAAAAAUUUAACAUAUGGUCCUUUGUAAGACCUUUAAAGUCUAAAUUAUAGCAGCAAGACAUAUGAAUUCUAUUUGAUUAGUGUCUUUUGUGAAUUUGAAAAAAUGAAAAUGUUACAUGCAUGGAAAGCAGUGAUUCUAAAAUGUGAUUUACAAUACUGAAUGUAGGAACAAAAAAUAGUAGAAUAAAGUGAAAUGUACAUCACAGCCAAUUUGAACUCAUUCUAGGGAUUUUAAAAAAAUCUUUAUUAUAAAAUGAUCAAUUGGUAUAACUCAUCAGAUUAAUAACAAAAAGAAGAAGAAUUAUAUAAUUUCCUUAAUAAAUAUAAGGAGAUAUUUGAUAAAAUUAUAAAUCAUUUAUUAAUGACAUUUAGCAUGUAGAAAUAGAGGAGAACUGUUUUUGUGGAUAAAAUUUAUCCACAAAAAUUAUAGUUUGCAACAAUGGCUUUAAUGGUGAAUUACUUUAAGACUUUUAUUCAAAAUUCAACAUGGAACCAGAUAUUGUUAUCUAAUAUAAGAAAGCAAGAUAAAUUAAGUAGGAAUUAUACAAUAAAAAAGAAAUAGUUGAACAUUAAAGCAUUUUUAUAUCCAUGUAUCAGUGGUAAUUGGAAAAAAUAAAAUAAAAGGUACUUUUGACAAUGGCAUAAAAACAUGAAGUGCUUAGAAAUAAAUCUAAAAAAAAAAUUAUAGGAUCUAUCCCAACAUCUUCACCAAAUAUGUCUGAGAGAAAUUGAAAGACAAUAGAGUAUAUGGGAAAGCAUCCCAUAUUCCUGAUUUUGAAGACUACUAUUGGCAAAGAUAUGAAUUCUGUCCCAAUUGGUCCAUAGAUUUAGUAUAAUCCUAAUUAAAACUCCCCCUGUAUUUUAUUGUGAAUUGGCAAGGUGGCUCCAUGAUAUAUUUUAAAGGACUAGAAAUAGACAAGUCAAUUUUAAUUAGGAUCAAACUGGGAGUAUUAACCCUACCACAUAUUAAAAUUUGAUACAAAGAUAUAAUAAUUUUCUGACAUUUUUUAUUGCCCCUGGAGUCCAAGAGAUCCUCAAAAUACUAAUUAUUACUCAGAACCAAACCCAUUUCCAAGCCUCCUCAGAUUUCCUCUCCUGAAACAAGCAUACCAACCAAACCACGCUAAACCACAACCAACUGUAUCAAAGCAAAUAGUGUAAAAAUAAAAUAAAACUCCAACAUAACAAGUUCCAUAGUUCUGAGUUUCCUAUUUCUAUUUUAUUUAUGGUUUAUCAAUAUCAUUUGCUUUCCAGUAUCUUGGAAUGUCUCAACUCUCAAAGACCAAUUUUAAAAUUUUCUGGGAAUUAUUUUCUGUAUCUCUAGAAACAAUGUAGGGAGUUUAUCCAGAGUAACCCACUGAAGACUGAUUAGGGGAGACCAAGACUUUUGAAUCAUCUUUGUAGAGCCUUCUAGAGAUUAAACAUCUAUGUCAAACAGCCUUAGCAAUUUACCAGUAAAGUUGUGAGGCAGUUGUUUCCCCAGCAAAAUUUUUGCAAUAUUUUUAAAAUACUAGACUCAUAACCCCAAUCCCUUUUGGGACUUCUUUUAAAAAAUGAAGUAGAAAUAAGAAAGGUGGAAUCCAUGGAUUAGGUACAAGUUGAAACUGAACAUUUAGGGCAUCUCAACAAGCACCAAAUCAAUUAUAUUGCUUUUUCUACUCUUCACUUACAAACCAUCUGGGGCUGUCAUGUAGCCUCAGCCUCUCUUUAAGCACUGUCAAGAAGGAAUUGUCCAGAUUGUCAAGAACACAUGCCUUACACUGCUCCUACAACAUUUGUAUGAGGAAUGCGGCUCGUACAACAAUGGGUGAAAUUAUAUAGUGUUCAGGAAGUCCGUAAGUAUGAGCAGCCCCAGGAUAACAUAAAUGUUUAUAAAGCAUCGUCAGCAGUUAGAAAUUUCACACCUUUGUCCACCAAGCACCUAAUUUAUUUUUGAUUUCUUUAAAUUUUUCUUUAGUAUUACAUUCCCAAUGUCAGACUAUUUUCAGACCCUAGAAUAUAUUUUGGUCUUUUCAGAUUUCAGAAAUCUUACCUACAUUUGCAGAUGCUUCUCUUGUACCCUUGGCAGAUCUUUAGAAACUCAGUCAUUAAAAAUUGUUUUCUUUCAUCAUUACAGAAGGGACAAAGAUGGGCAUGAGGGGGAAUUCACAAUGAUUUCAAAUGGUAGAUGGCAUUUUAGGUAUCAGUAAUUAGAGUAAUUAAAUUGCAGCUCACAUUAUUUCACAUAUCUGAGUACUCUUGAGAAUUUUGUUUGACUAAUAACUGUCAAUGCGCGUACUAAACACAAAAAUAUAGCUCCUGAUCUCAUAAAGCAACCAGCUAGCCUGACUUGAUAGAUGAAUAAAUAUCCAUGCAUUCUAAUUUUAAGGAAAAAAAACUUGGAAAUGAUACAUUAUUCUAGGUUAAAAAAUCAGAACUUUUUUUUAUAAUACAUCAUUCAGAUAUGAACUCAAAUCUUUGCACUUACUCAUGUUUAUGAACUCCCAAGGAUGUUCAUUUAAUCUUGAUCAUAUUGAUUCUCUAUCAUCCUUUUUAUUCCAGUGUAUUGUUAUUCUAAGGAAAUAUUUUUCAAAAUUCUUAGUGGUUUGUUCUUGCUGACACUGCAUGGUUUUGUGGGAGGGUACUGGGGAUUAAACUCAGGGAUCCUCCAGCACAAAGCCACAUCCCCAGCCCUAUUUUCCAUUUUAUUUAGAGACAGGGUCUCACUGAGUUUUUUAGCACCUCGCUUUUGCUGAAGCUGACUUUGAACUCUCAAUCCUCCUGUCUCAGCUUCUCCAGCUGCUGGGAUUACAGGCCUGCACCACCGCGCCUGGCUGACAUUACGUUUCUGAGGCCCAAUGUUUGCUGACUCAUUCUGGACCUUCUGAGGCGGUGAACAGGGAGGGGUAUUUCUAUGUGUUAAGUAAUAUCUCCAAGGAAUUGAGCAUGGAAUGGCCAAUUACUGAAGAUGCCAUGAUUUAAAUGUCAUGACAGUUUUAUUUUGCUCACAUCUUACAGACAAAAUCUAGAUAUUUCAUUUGAAAGGAGGACAACUGCAGAAGAAAAGCUUUGACUUAGCUACCAACUUGGCAUCAUUACCCUGGAUAUUCUAAGGAGCAUUUACCAGUUAUUAGCUUACUGUACAGAGGUCAGGUUUGGGAAGUUAGAACAGAUGACUUCCAAGUACCAUUACAUUCUGAAAAGUCUUAUGAUCUCAAGAUUGCUAUGGGAUAGGUGAAGAAUUUUAAGGGCACAGAUAACUCAGCAGGUAAGUAAAACUGUAGUGACCCCAAAUGAGAAGAAGAGCUAGCAAAAAUUUGAGCCUUUUUUCACAUGUAGAAUAAGAUGAUGACUUAUUUACCUUACUACUCAUAUUCACCCACAGAAAGUGCCACAAAUAAUCAUUCUAUAGUUUCCCUUAGGUGAUUUCUUUAGACUCUGUGGUGGAGAGUCGAUAUAAUAUUAGAGUCCAUCCCGGUUUUAUGGAGAAUUAUGUACUACAUGAUUAUAAUGCUUUAAAUUCAGAUUAACAAACAUGUAAUCAAAGACUUGUAGGAGAUAGCUGUUGUAAAAGACAGCUCACUUAUUUUAUUCUUCUCAUUUUAAUGCUUAUUUGGAAUUUGGUUGAAAUCUGUCUUUUACACUGUGUUUUUCAAUCCGAUUAAAAUAAUCAGUGAUCAUAUUUCUUUGAAGCUAAACACUAUUACUGCCUAUGAACUAUGAAACCAUUAAAAGCAAGAGUACUGAAUGAAAAUUUCUCCAUUAAAAUUGUUUGGUUAUAAGUAAGUGAGAGAACAAUAUAUAUUAUAGUAAAAGGUCAGAAAUAAAACAUUAGCAUUAUUAACUUUCACCUUAAACACUUGGCACCCUUCAAAAGUCCUGCAGGGUAUUUUUUUUUUUAACCCGAGUUUGGGUUCUUUGCACGCUAGAAAACAUGCAGGGCUGCUGCUGCAGAUUGGAAAAAGAGCUUGAGGUCAGAGGUCGACACAGUGAGGGAGUUUGCUCUUUAAGAGGUUAUCUGUGGAUCUGCAAAGCCAAAGUGUAAUUGGGUUUUGUGAUGUGAUUUUAGUGAGUAAUUGUAUAUGAUCUUAGAUAGUUUCAAAGACAAGCUUGGAAGAUUUUUCCGGGCUGUUUGUGAUAGCAAUUUUAGGGAUUGUGUGCAAUCUUGGAUAGACAAUUCAGAAUGAUCAAAAAUAGCCAUCAGAAGUGAUAAUGGCAAGUUACUUUAUGUGCCUUAAUUCUAUUUUCAGAGCAUUGAUUCAAAUAUAAUGUAAUGGAAUGUGUUCCUUCUCUUUAGGACAUUACAUUGCUUAGGAAAAUGAAGAUACUUAGUUUUCAUGGCUGGUAUCAGUCUGUCAAUUUUAUGUCAUCAUAAUGAUGGCUUUCAGUUUCUCUGAGUUUGAACUUCAGUUGCAGAUUGCUGAAUGCUUAUAUAGAAAGAAAAAGGAAGUUAAAACAUUCCAAUUGGUUGUUGAAUGUGGACCUUUUUUUAGCCUCUUAAUUUGUCAAGUUUCUGAUUCCUGAAUAUUCUAAACAAUGAGAAAUAAACAUUUCCUUAUUGUUUUAGUUGUUUAGGGUUGCCUUGAUUAAGCUGUCACUGCUGUCAGUUAUGUUCUUAUAAGCCUGGUUGGAUCUAUUUCAUGUUAGGAAAAAGCUCAGAUAAAUCCAGGAAAGCUUAAUGUUUAUCCAAUGUGAAAAUAAUUACUCAAAAGUGUUAUUCUUAAUCCAGAUAAUUAGAGUGAGGAAGGAAAGAUCAGUGUCAUUGUGAAUUAUGCCCUGGCAAUUGACUCUUGGUCCUUGUAAGUUUCAGGUGAAGAUGUGAAUGGAUAAAGGUUAGAUUAAACAUAAUCCAAAGUAGCUGCAACCUUAAUCUGUUAUGAUACAAGGAUGAUCACUUAAAAAGAGCUGGAUUGUGGGAUUGUUUCUGGUUGGAUAAGAUGCCGCUCGACUGGGACUAGUCUUAAAACAUGCUUAGCACCAUGUCACUGCAGCUGCAAGCACUUGUGCACGGCUGCAGCCUGCCACCACCACAGGCGCUCCUGGACUCCAGCUUUGUGUUGGCGUGUCACACUUCCAUGAUAUCUGGGCUUCACAUUAACAUGCCUUGCAAUGGUCUGUAUGGAAAAAAAUAUUUCCUGUGACCUUGUGGCAUCUCUUCUGGGUUGUAAUAAGCAUGGAUUUGAAAUCUGCUAAAACUCCAGCAUAGAGUAAGCAGCCAUUUGUUACCUUAAACAAUUAGAAGGUACAUUUGUAACUGAGCUUAAUGUUGCUCUGAUUCAACAGAGAAACUUGUUUUAAAUGUGAUUAUUUUGAGUAGCAUGCAAUGUUUGCAGAACUAAUUAUCUGUCAAGUAUUUUCAAAAUCAAAUUAGGUUUUUCUAAAUAUUUCUGUGGAGUUAAAAGUGAAAAGAGUAUGAAUAAUGAGAUCCCCAAAUAGUAGAAUCUCAAAAUUCAGCCAUAUUUUAAUUAAAAGGAAGAAAUAUUGGGAGUUCCAUUUAUUCUCACAAUAAAUUUCGUAAAUUUAGCAUGCUUAAUUUCUGCAUGGCAGAGCUGGUUUGCUUUGAUUACAGAAAAUGGAACCAAAAAUAUUUUAGCAAUUAUGCGUGAAACCUUAUUGUUUUAACAGAAAGCAGUGCGAUUUCAUGACAAGUGAAUUUUAAUUAAAAUUUGAACAUGUAGGGCUGGGGUUGUUGCUAAGUGGUAGAACACUUGCCUGGCAUGCAUGAGGGACUGGGUUUGAUUCUCGGUAUCAGAUACAAAUAAAUAAAUAGCAUAAAGGUACAUCAAUAACUAAAAAAAUUUUAAAAACAGAAAAGAAAGAAAGAAUUUGAACAUUUAAUCAAUUAUUAUGGUUGUUUAUUCCUCCACAAUAAAAUUAUAUUACAACAUAUUACAUAUCGUUGCUGAAUAUUAAAGAAAAUAACUAGUGGAAUGUAAAGCUAAUAAGUCCAAUGCUCUUUAACACAUGUUUAGUUUUCUUUGGAAUAUUGGAAUAUUCAAAGUCAUAAAAUAUUAGAUUAAAUAUUUUAAUAAAGCAUAUUUUAAAAACACCACUGAAAUAGAUCAAUAUUUCAAUAUAUUUUUAACCAGAAUCCAAAUUUAUUCUAAUACUGUCCUUGGAUAAAUAUAUAACAUCACAUGCUAUAAAUAUAACAGAUGUGUUUCCAGUUACAUUACAUUAAUUGCUUCCAUAUGUACUUGUGAAAAAUUUGUUUUUCAAAGGCCAUAAACAUUUGUUGAGCAUUCACCACCCAUAUUUAGGCACUUGCUCCAUAUUUUCACAAAUAUUUAAUGUCCCUAAUUUAUGCAACUGAUGUGUUACCAAGGGACGAUUGUUGCCAGACAGUGGUACAGGGGCUAUGGAUAUGCAAUGAUCUAAACAAAGUCUCUGCUCUUACAAAGUUUAAAUUCUUAUGUUUAGAGAGAAAAUAUAAAAAGGAAAUGUACAAGAGCUUAGCAAAUGCAAUGAAGAAAAAAGUAAGGUUAGGAAUUUAGAAACAGGGCCUGGUGGAUUAGGAUUUAAGAUGAGGUUAGGGAGAGCCUCAUAGAGAAGGCAAGAUUUAUGUCAAUGGGAUAUAUGGUGCCCUUGGUUUAGGGGGACUAGCUUCAGCAUAAUUACUUUUGCCAAACAGAACAAUUUCCAGGUGUAUUGUUUUUAGAUAUUCAAAACAAAAUUAUCAUUUCAAGACUUUUUAAAUAAGUCUGACUAAAGUACUAGUUUCCCUAUAUUUGAAAAGUAUUCAAAUUGAACAAUCUUUUUUUUUUUUUUAAAGAGAGAGAGAGAGAAUUUUAAUAUUUUAUUUUUUAGUUUUCGGCAGACACAACAUCUUUGUUUGUAUGUGGUGCUGAGGAUCGAACCCAGGCCGCACACAUGCCAGAGCUUUUGCCUAUUCAUGGGCUCAGCCCAAUACCUCAUCGUGUGGAUAUCGUGACUUUAACACGUGCCUUCCCUGCUAAACUAUGUGUAACAUGAAGACAAGGACAAUCUCCGCCUUGCUCAUCCAUCUCUUUGUAGUACCUUAUCCAAGUCCUGAAGCAUCUCAGGAACAAAAUAUUUCUGUUAAUUGAAUGAGUGGAAGAAGCUCCAGGCAUUCAAAACAGUGUUUGCCACCUGCCCUGUGAGGACACAGCCACAAAAUCCCAUCCUGGAAGCAGAAAGUGAGCCUUCCUCCAACACCAAACCUGCUGAUGCCUUGAUCUUGGAUCUCCUGGCCUCCAAAUGGAAAUGAGGGCAAAAUAGAAGACCAUCUUCCUUAUGCACCCUGGGUCAUUUCCUGAAGAUUUUUGAAUUGGACACAAAAGGCAGGAUUUUAACAGAGGUGGAAUGCAGCACAUGUGGAAAAGGUUGGACCCACGACCUUUAAUUCUUUUGACCAAGAAGGUGCGAGAUAAGUCUUCUAUCAAGAAGUUGCAGUCGGGGCCAUUAUGAUUAAUGGUAUUGCAUUAAAUGAAAUUAGACACUUGAAGCCCUUGAGUUGUCUGUAUAUAUGGACACAGCUGGACCAAGUCCUGAUUUACAAGAACCACAAUGGCACAAAGGACAGAAGGUAUAGGAGUAUGAUCCACGAGGGACACUGAGAAAAUGCCAUGUUUACUGGGUUCAGUCUGCCAACACUGACAUCACUAAAGCAUCACAAAGCAAGCAAGACUAUCAUUACUAUCAAAAUGAAAUUGUAAAUCAGAUGGAUAUAUUAACUACAGUUUUCAAGAAAAAGUACAAUAAAGAAGAAUGAUCAAGAGAGAAAUGCUUAUAAUUCCAAGGACACACUUCAUCAGACACUGCAAAUAUUACAGCAGAAUGAAUUGACAUCAUGUUCUCGGCUGACACAACAUCUUUGUUUGUACGUGGUGCUGAGGAUCGAACCCGGGCCGCACGCAUGCCAGGCGAGCGCGCUACCGCUUGAGCCACAUCCCCAGCCCCAAUUGCAUGUAUUUUAAUUAAUUUAUAUACAUAUAUGAAUAUGGUAUGAUGAAUCCCACUAAUAUGUAUAAUGAUAUUGCACCAAUAAAAUUUAAAUAUAUACAUAAUAUUAAAUAUUGAAUUCAUUAUUAUAUAGGUCACUUUUGAGUAUAAUAAAUGUCAUUUUUUACAUUUUUCUCCUAAAUCAUGUAUUUCCAUGUGGGAACUUACAAUUGGCAAAAAAAAGUUACUCUGUCACCAAAAGCUUCAACACUUUUAUUCCAUUAUUUUCUUUUUCAUUUAGCCUACUGCUAUGUUUUAUUUUCCUUGCAAGAUAAUUAUAACUUGUACAUUAUAUGUAUGUUCAAACUAUGAAAUCACAUUUUCUUCAUUCAUAAAGACUUACAUUAAAAUAAAACUGUCUAGUCUA